rnacentral:rRNA from 1 species
CCUACGGGAGGCUGCAGUGGGGAAUAUUGGGCAAUGGGCGCAAGCCUGACCCAGCAACGCCGCGUGAAGGAAGAAGGCUUUCGGGUUGUAAACUUCUUUUAAGAGGGAAGAGAAGAAGACGGUACCUCUUGAAUAAGCCACGGCUAAAUACGUGCCAGCAGCGGAGGCAAUACGUAGGUGGCAAGCGUUGUCCGGAUUUACUGGGUGUAAAGGACGUGCAGCCGGGAAGACAAGUCAGAUGUUAAAUCCCGCGGCUCAACCGCGGAAAUGCAUUUGAAACUGUUUUUCUUGAGUACCGGAGAGGUCAUCGGAAUUCCGCGUGUAGCGGUGAAAUGCGUAGAUAUAAGGAAGAACACCGGUGGCGAAGGCGGAUGACUGGACGGCAACUGACGGUGAGGCGCGAAAGCGUGGGGAGCAAACAGGAUUAGAUACCCGUGUAGUC